AUUGAACGCUGGCGGCAUGCCUUACACAUGCAAGUCGAACGGUAACAGGUUAAGCUGACGAGUGGCGAACGGGUGAGUAAUGUAUCGGAACGUGCCCAGUAGUGGGGGAUAGCCCGGCGAAAGCCGGAUUAAUACCGCAUACGACCUACGGGUGAAAGGGGGGGAUCGCAAGACCUCUCGCUAUUGGAGCGGCCGAUAUCAGAUUAGGUAGUUGGUGGGGUAAAGGCCCACCAAGCCUGCGAUCUGUAGUUGGUCUGAGAGGACGACCAGCCACACUGGGACUGAGACACGGCCCAGACUCCUACGGGAGGCAGCAGUGGGGAAUUUUGGACAAUGGGCGCAAGCCUGAUCCAGCAAUGCCGCGUGCAGGAAGAAGGCCUUCGGGUUGUAAACUGCUUUUGUCAGGGAAGAAAUCCUCUGGGUUAAUACCUCGGGGGGAUGACGGUACCUGAAGAAUAAGCACCGGCUAACUGCGUGCCAGCCGCCGCGGUAAAAC
rnacentral:rRNA from 1 species